rnacentral:lncRNA from 1 species
GUCAUUUGUUCUUCCGCCAGCGCCCAUCGUGAAGACCACAGUUUCCUGUCGCGUGGAUGUGUUUCCUCUCUGGCCAUUGCCAUCCGCCCAAAUCUACAGACAUCCCGCAUGUUCCCGGGCUCGUCUCCCCAAUACAGGGCACCAAGGUGAGUGCAAGGUGCAUGGGCAGCGCCGUUUCCUCCAUCAAGGAAACCGGGCUGCGGGCCGUCGGUGGGCGGCUGGUCUGCUGGGUCUAGAGGAGGGAGGGCCUCAAGCCGCGUGCUUUUCACCGUCUGAGUAUCUGAAGCCUCAAAGCCAUGUCUGUCGCCUACAAAAAGUGGGUCGGUGUUUACGACCUGUGUCCCAUGUUUUUAGCAUCCUACCAAGGCGAAUCCAUUGACCAGGAUUUAAGUUGAGACUCCCCCAGGACCCCGGGUGCAGCAUCUGGGUCCCCCUGCCCCGCCCUGCCUUGCGCCGCAGCCGCUUCCGUUGUCCUGCCAGGCUGUAGACUGCGCAGCCCUCCUGGAGACAGAUGGAAGCUCCUUGGGUCGACAGAUUACAGCUUCUGGAACCCCCUACUCCCUUCAACUCCGAGAUGGACACCCACUGUCCAGGGAGAGGAUGCCUGGAAAUAACAGCUGGGAUCUACAGUGGCCAAAGAGUUGUCUCCGUCUUGCUACAUCGACAAACUGGUGCUCCUGACCACUUCGGAAGCGUUUUCCUCUCCACUCUGACAACAGGCAAGAGUGAGGGUCCAACAAUACAGAGGAAGUAACGUGUCGCUGCUACUCUUCCAUGCCCAGUGCCAGGAGCGACGGUACACUCCAGAGUGCUGUGCCCUGAUGGGCCUUUGAGUGGCCAGUGCAGUGGAUCAUCAGCCCUGUCUCCCAAGAGCUCCAGUCCCUUCUCCGGAGAGGAAGUGGGUCCACUGGCAGCUCAGGAGGCCAUAGCAGGAUUGUCACGUGUGCUCAACAGUCCUCCUCGGCUUUCCAGAAGAGGCUGGAACAGGGCCCUUGAAGAUGUUUGUGGACAUCAGAGGGCCAAAGACGACACAAAGUGAAACUGGAGACACCGCCCCCCCUUGGCAUCAUGAAACUGCCGAUGUUACUGGCUCAUGCAUGGGAGACACCAGCAUACAAAGUCUUGACACCAACACCUCAGAGGGCUGUGUUCUGUCCCCGUGACCAUCAUCUAGUGCCUGGAAAGACUAGUGACAAGAACUUGUUGCCAACUUCCUAUUACCUCCCUAACAGUUGUGCAAUAAACCCCAUAGGUUAAUUCA